GAUGAACGCUGGCGGCGUGCCUAAUACAUGCAAGUCGAACGAAUCACUUCGGUGGUUAGUGGCGAACGGGUGAGUAAUACGUAAGCAACCUGCCUAUGGGACUGGGAUAACGUUUGGAAACGGACGCUAAUACCGGAUAGGUAGAGAGGGAGGCAUCUCUUCUCUAUUAAAGUUUAGAUACACCGAUAGAUGGGCUUACGGCGCAUUAGCUAGUUGGUGAGGUAACGGCUCACCAAGGCGAUGAUGCGUAGCCGGACUGAGAGGUUGAACGGCCACAUUGGGACUGAGACACGGCCCAAACUCCUACGGGAGGCAGCAGUAGGAAUUUUCGGCAAUGGGGGAAACCCUGACCGAGCAACGCCGCGUGAGUGAA
rnacentral:rRNA from 1 species